rnacentral:rRNA from 1 species
AGUGAACGCUGGCGGUAGGCCUAACACAUGCAAGUCGAACGGCAGCACAGUAAGAGCUUGCUCUUACGGGUGGCGAGUGGCGGACGGGUGAGGAAUACAUCGGAAUCUACUUUUUCGUGGGGGAUAACGUAGGGAAACUUACGCUAAUACCGCAUACGACCUACGGGUGAAAGCAGGGGAUCUUCGGACCUUGCGCGAUUGAAUGAGCCGAUGUCGGAUUAGCUAGUUGGCGGGGUAAAGGCCCACCAAGGCGACGAUCCGUAGCUGGUCUGAGAGGAUGGUCAGCCACACUGGAACUGAGACACGGUCCAGACUCCUACGGGAGGCAGCAGUGGGGAAUAUUGGACAAUGGGCGCAAGCCUGAUCCAGCCAUACCGCGUGGAUGAAGAAGGCCUUCGGGUUGUAAAGCCCUUUUGUUGGGAAAGAAAAGCAGCAGGUUAAUACCCCGCUGUUCUGACGGUACCCAAAGAAUAAGCACCGGCUAACUUCGUG